AAAAACAUAGCCUUUAGCCAAACAAGUAUUAAAGGUCUAGCCUGCCCAGUGAAACUAUUUAAACGGCCGCGGUAUCCUAACCGUGCAAAGGUAGCGUAAUCAUUUGUCUUCUAAUUAGAGACUUGUAUGAACGGCUAACUGAGGGCCCAACUGUCUCCUUAGACCAAUCAAUGAAACUGAUCUUUCAGUACAAAAGCUGAAAUAAACACAUAAGACGAGAAGACCCUGUGGAGCUUAAAACCUGCACUAUAAACCCUAAUUCGACCCUAAAGGGGCACUCUCCUCCCAUAGUAAAAAGUUUUCAGUUGGGGCGACUUUGGAAUAAAAUAAAACUUCCAUGCCAGGGGCCUCCCCUAUUAAGGCUGACAUGCCAAAAUAAUAUAUUAUUGACCCAGCCUGUCUGAUCAACGAACCAAGUUACCCCAGGGAUAACAGCGCCAUCCUCUUCAAGAGUUCCUAUCGACAAGAGGGUUUACGACCUCGAUGUUGGAUCAGGACACCCCAGUGGUGCAGCCGCUACUAAAGGUUCGUUUGUUCAACGAUUAACAGU
rnacentral:rRNA from 1 species